GCGUCUUAAGCAUGCAAGUCAAACGGGAUGUAGCAAUACAUCUAGUGGCGAACGGGUGAGUAACGCGUGGAUGAUCUACCUACGAGAUGGGGAUAACUAUUAGAAAUAGUAGCUAAUACCGAAUAAAGUCAAUUAAUUUGUUAAUUGAUGAAAGGAAGCCUUUAAAGCUUCGCUUGUAGAUGAGUCUGCGUCUUAUUAGUUAGUUGGUAGGGUAAAUGCCUACCAAGGCGAUGAUAAGUAACCGGCCUGAGAGGGUGAACGGUCACACUGGAACUGAGAUACGGUCCAGACUCCUACGGGAGGCAGCAGCUAAGAAUCUUCCGCAAUGGGCGAAAGCCUGACGGAGCGACACUGCGUGAAUGAAGAAGGUCGAAAGAUUGUAAAAUUCUUUUAUAAAUGAGGAAUAAGCUUUGUAGGAAAUGACGAAGUGAUGACGUUAAUUUAUGAAUAAGCCCCGGCUAAUUACGUGCCAGCAGCCGCGGUAAUACGUAAGGGGCGAGCGUUGUUCGGGAUUAUUGGGCGUAAAGGGUGAGUAGGCGGAUAUAUAAGUCUAUGCAUAAAAUACCACAGCUCAACUGUGGAACUAUGUUGGAAACUAUAUGUCUAGAGUCUGAUAGAGGAAGUUAGAAUUUCUGGUGUAAGGGUGGAAUCUGUUGAUAUCAGAAAGAAUACCGGAGGCGAAGGCGAACUUCUGGGUCAAGACUGACGCUGAGUCACGAAAGCGUAGGGAGCAAACAGGAUUAGAUACCCUGGUAGUCUACGCUGUAAACGAUGCACACUUGGUGUUAACUAAAAGUUAGUACCGAAGCUAACGUG
rnacentral:rRNA from 1 species